AGGAGGCCGAGGUUGUGAGCCAAGUUCUAAGUCUCACGGUCUGCUCAUCAGCACCUUAAAUGGAUUCCUUGCCAUUCGUGCAGUCCUUCCAGAGUUCCAAGGCUCAGGGUCAGGCACUACGAGUGCUAAGAUGGCUAAGACAUGGUCUUUGCCUUCCAGAGACUUUGAAACCUCUGGCAAAUACUCUGUACUUUAUUAGGUGUGUAAAACAUUUGGUUCCCUUACAGUUCAUAUUUAUCAGGUAGGUGUUAUUUGAGAAAUCGUGGUACAGUUUGCAGUUUAGGUAAAAAAAAAUCAAACAACUCUGCAGGUUGAUAUGGUUC